rnacentral:rRNA from 1 species
ACGGGGUGCAGCAGGCGCGAAAACUGACCAAUGCGCGAAAGCGUGAGUCGGUCAAUCCGAGUGUAGACCCAUCGGUUUACUUUUGUCAUGUGUACAACGCUUGGCGAAUAAUGUGAGGGCAAGACUGGUGCCAGCCGCCGCGGUAAAACCAGCUCAUAGAGUGGUGAUCAUGAUUAUUUGGCUUAAAGUGUGCGUAGCAGGGAAUUCUAAGUCCUCUGUGAAAUGUCAGGUCUUAAGCUUGACACGUGCAGAGGAUACUGGAAUCCUUGGGACUGGGAUAGGUGUAAUGUACGGUUUGGGUAGGGGUGAAAUCCGAUAAUCCAAGCCGGACAACCGGUGGCGAAGGCGUUACACUGGAACAGGUCCGACUGUGAGGCACGAAAGCUAGGGUCGCGAGCCGGAUUAGAUACCCGGGUAGUCCUAUGCCGUAAACGAUGCUCACUAAGUGUUAGGUAAUGCAAGACAUUCUCUAGUGCCGAAGCGAAAGCGUUAAGUGAGCCGCCUGGGAAGUACGUUCGCAAGAA